rnacentral:rRNA from 1 species
AGGUUACUGCUAUCGGUGUUCGCCUAAGCCAUGCGAGUCACAUGUUCGUAAGAACAUGGCGUACUGCUCAGUAACACGUGGAUAACCUGCCCUUGGGUCCGGCAUAACCCCGGGAAACUGGGGAUAAUUCCGGAUAACGCACAUAUGCUGGAAUGCUUUUUGCGUAAAAUGGAUUCGUCUGCCCAAGGAUGGGUCUGCGGCCUAUCAGGUAGUAGUGGGUGUAAUGUACCUACUAGCCUACGACGGGUACGGGUUGUGAGAGCAAGAGCCCGGAGAUGGAUUCUGAGACAUGAAUCCAGGCCCUACGGGGCGCAGCAGGCGCGAAAACUUUACAAUGCGGGAAACCGUGAUAAGGGGACACCGAGUGCCAGCAUCCUAUGCUGGCUGUCCGGGUGUGUAAAAUACACCUGUUAGCAAGGGCCGGGCAAGACCGGUGCCAGCCGCCGCGGUAACACCGGCGGCCCGAGUGGUGAUCGUGAUUAUUGGGUCUAAAGGGUCCGUAGCCGGUUUGGUCAGUCCUCCGGGAAAUCUGACAGCUUAACUGUUAGGCUUUCGGAGGAUACUGCCAGACUUGGAACCGGGAGAGGUAAGAGGUACUACAGGGGUAGGAGUGAAAUCUUGGAAUCCCUGUGGGACCACCUGUGGCGAAGGCGUCUUACCAGAACGGGUUCGACGGUGAGGGACGAAAGCUGGGGGCACGAACCGGAUUAGAUACCCGGGUAGUCCCAGCCGUAAACGAUGCUCGCUAGGUGUCAGGCAUGGCGCGACCGUGUCUGGUGCCGCAGGGAAGCCGUGAAGCGAGCCACCUGGGAAGUACGGCCGCAAGGCUGAAACUUAG